UACGAAGGGGGCUAGCGUUGCUCGGAAUCACUGGGCGUAAAGCGCACGUAGGCGGCUUACUAAGUCAGGGGUGAAAUCCUGGAGCUCAACUCCAGAACUGCCUUUGAUACUGGUGAGCUUGAGUCCGGAAGAGGUGAGUGGAACUGCGAGUGUAGAGGUGAAAUUCGUAGAUAUUCGCAAGAACACCAGUGGCGAAGGCGGACUCACUGGUCCGGUACUGACGCUGAGGUGCGGAAAGCGUGGGAGCAACAGGGAUUAA
rnacentral:rRNA from 1 species